rnacentral:lncRNA from 1 species
GGUUUAAAACUCAAUUGAAAAGGGGUAGUACUUGUGGUUGAGGCCCUUAAUCAAAUUUAAUGGCACCACCCGUUCGCCAGUGUGAUAACCAUCGAGAACGGCCAUUUCCUCGGCUGUCAGCUCAAAAUCGAAGAUAUCGAAGUUCUCAGAAAUUCGAUUCUGCGCCCUGUAUUAAAGGUCUUCAUUUGGAGCAACUCCUCCGGCGUUAGGUGGAAAUCAAAUAUAUCCAGAUUCUCUACGAGAUGGGCUCGCUGGGCAGCUUUUGGAAUAGGUCGUUUAUACCAAGUAUCUUAGGAUGAUUUGAGCUGGUGUCUUGCCGUAUUUCGCUGCCAACGCCAGUAGCUUGGAAUCAGUGUAGUAAUCGGGCAGCGGAUUGCA